GGGGGCAUAGCUCAGCUGGGAGAGCAACAGACUGAAGUGUUCACACAAAGGCUCAUCGUUCUGGAGGUCCCCAGUUCAAUCCUGGGUGCCCCCA